CACCGGAUCGAUCCCGGUAAGG
rnacentral:misc_RNA from 1 species